UACGUAGGGUGCAAGCGUUAAUCGGAAUUACUGGGCGUAAAGCGUGCGCAGGCGGUUUUGUAAGCCGGAUGUGAAAUCCCCGGGCUUAACCUGAGAAUGGCAUUCGGGACUGCAAGGCUGGAGUGCGGCAGAGGAGACGUGGAAUUCCUGGUGUAGCAGUGAAAUGCGUAGAUAUCAGGAGGAACACCGAUGGACGAAGGCAGGUCGUCUGGGCUGACACUGACGCUCAUGCA
rnacentral:rRNA from 1 species